UACGUAGGGUGCGAGCGUUAAUCGGAAUUACUGGGCGUAAAGCGUGCGCAGGCGGUUUUGUAAGCCAGAUGUGAAAUCCCCGGGCUUAACCUGGGAAUGGCAUUUGGGACUGCAAGGCUUGAGUUUGGCAGAGGAGACUGGAAUUCCUGGUGUAGCAGUGAAAUGCGUAGAUAUCGGGAGGAAUACCAGUGGCGAAGGCGGCUUCCUGGCCUGUUCUUGACGCUGAGGCGCGAAAGCUAGGGUAGCAAACGGG
rnacentral:rRNA from 1 species